AUGAAUUUGGAGAAUUGAUGCUGGCCUUUGUGCAUGUGCUCGUUCUCUUUAAUCCAUACACACCUGUGCACUUGUUAUCGGGGCUUGUUGUUAAAGAUAAGCCCUGCUUAAUCACAUACUCUUAUUAUUUACUUUGAAUGUUUAUCAAGUCGAAAGACUUUUAAAUCAAUA
rnacentral:misc_RNA from 1 species